AUUGAACGCUAGCGGGAUGCCUUACACAUGCAAGUCGAACGAGUGGCGAACGGGUGAGUAAUGUAUCGGAACGUGCCCAGUAGCGGGGGAUAACUACGCGAAACGUAGCUAAUACCGCAUACUAUUGGAGCGGCCGAUAUCGGAUUAGCUAGUUGGUGGGGUAACGGCUCACCAAGGCGACGAUCCGUAGCUGGUUUGAGAGGACGACCAGCCACACUGGGACUGAGACACGGCCCAGACUCCUACGGGAGGCAGCAGUAGGGAAUAUUCGGCAAUGGAAGAAAGUCUGACCGAGCAACGCCGCGUGAGUGAAGAAGGCCUUCGGGGUGUAAAGCACUUUUGGCAGGAAAGCGGUACCUGCAGAAUAAGCACCGGCUAACUACGUGCCAGCAGCCGCGGUAAUUC
rnacentral:rRNA from 1 species